GAUGAACGCUGGCGGCGUGCCUAACACAUGCAAGUCGAACGGAGAUUACAGACGGAAGUUUUCGGAUGGAAGUUUGUAAUUCUUAGUGGCGGACGGGUGAGUAACGCGUGGGCAACCUGCCCUAUACAGGGGGAUAGCAGCUGGAAACGGCUGGUAAGACCGCAUAAGUCGGCGAGACCGCAUGGUUUUGUCGGGAAAUGAGCAAUCAGGUAUAGGAUGGGCCCGCGUCCGAUUAGCCAGUUGGCAGGGUAAAAGCCUACCAAAGCAACGAUCGGUAGCCGGACUGAGAGGUCGGACGGCCACAUUGGGACUGAGACACGGCCCAAACUCCUACGGGAGGCAGCAGUGGGGGAUAUUGCACAAUGGAGGAAACUCUGAUGCAGCGACGCCGCGUGAGUGAAGAAGUAUUUCGGUAUGUAAAGCUCUAUCAGCAGGGAAGAUGAUGCGGUACCUGACUAAGAAGCCCGG
rnacentral:rRNA from 1 species